AUAUGCUGGCAGGUUCUGCUGUAUACUGUUAGAAUAUGGCAAAAUGUGAUGGCAUUGUUGAAUGGUGAAUGUACACUGUGACAUUAGGCAAUACUCUCUUCUGAAGGAAAAAAAAACCCUAUUUUUUUUCCAUAUAGAAAUCUUUUUAUAGAUUAUUGUGUGUAUAAUUCUGUGGAAAUAGCAUACUUCUUUUUGCAAAGGGAAGCUAAAAAAUUGUCUGAAUUUUGUGGAAAGGUUAUGUAACUGUACUCUUUCUUUAAAUAGUACUUUUUAUUCAUGCUGUUUACUUUCUCAUCAGCAGGAAAAAAAAAAGAAAAAAAAUCAUAUUUUCCUAGCACAAAAGGUAAUUUCCAAAGGACUGUAAUUAGUUCAUGAAAAUUCUCUUUUGUCAUAUCUCCUCAGCUGAAAUGGAAAAAAGGAUGGACCUUUUCCUUUGUUAAAACAAAAACAUAGCAUAUGAGGUAAGGGAGCCUAAAGGAAUCAUAUGACAAUUUAUGUCUUAGGUCUACAGAAAAUGAUAUUGCAGCAGUACUGUGGAUUCAUGACUUCUCACUCUGAUUGCCAACUUUUGGAAAACCUAGAAGUGGCAACUGUCAUCUGUUUCCUUGCUCAUCUCUCCUGAGAGAGAACUUGGAGCCUUAUAAAAAUGAGGUAUAGUUCAAGUGCUAAUGGGGAGAUAAGAAGGAAGAGCUAUAAAAGCCCUAAUACUGCAAGGUGACUCUAGCACAGUCACAUAUACUUCUGAUCUCUGAGGAUCAGCUGAGUUCACCAUUGUUUUUUGGCCCCAUACAGGAGGAAAGGGUUACUAACAGAAAGAAAAAGACUGGCAGGGGUUUGGGUAAAAGGAAAGAGAUGAGUAAGGAGAAAAAAGAACAGGGAUAAAUUGGUGGCAGUGGAUAAUAAAGAAGGGAUCCUGCUGAAAAAGAAUGGUCUGGCAGAAAACAUAUUUACAAAAAUAAUUGUAAUAAUUUCAUUUUGGGUGAUGUUUUUGAACACCAUAUUACAAGAUCAUAAUUUUUAGCAAUAGCCUUAAGUCUUAUCCAUUUUGGGAAAUACUCAGUGAGAACAUGGACUACACUUCAAUUAAACUUAAUUCAAAACCUCCUAUACUAAAUUUAUUUAAAACAAAGGCAACAAAGAAAAGAGAAAAAAUUAUGGGAAUAAGAGUAACUAAAAUAUUUUCACCCGCUCACACUCAUCUUUCUUAUAUGUUCUUGUCUUGGAACACUGCCAAUAAGUGAUUUAUUUAUAAUAAUAAACACAUGAUGCAACCAUUUCUGUUGCAUCCCUGAAAUUAUGUCAUGGAUGAAGGGAGAAGUAUCUUCUGAAGAAAGGUUCUUCUUUACAUAAAGAUAUAACUAGUCCUAAAAUAAUAAAAAAUGAUACUGUAAAUGAAUUUGGGGCCUAUAAAUAGAACUCAGUUUUAAAGGGCUACUUAAAUAGGCUUAAACUACAAAAUAGAAGUUUAUUGAAAUAUGGUUUUAAAUAGAAGUUUAUUUGAGUAGGCAUAAGCCAUAAAUUUUAAAUCCAGAUUUAGAACCCCCCAAAUUUUAGGACUAUUUGGAGCUAUGGUUUUUGUUUCAUCCCAUUAUACUAGAGGUUACUUGUCAUUUAGAUUCGGGGUCACAUUUCAUAUGCAUCCAAAAUCUGGAAUUUGAUUAUCUGCUCUGGUUAAAAGCUAUAACUAGAGAACAAACAAGAACCUCUUUAUUUUUACCAGUUGUAUUUUAAUCAAGUACUACGAUUUUCUUUUGUAGUUCUGUUGGUCUGUACUUAACAACCAUUUUUAAUCUGAGGUUUUUCAAUAAGCAUAAAGACAUUGACCAUUAAAAUAAUGAAAUUAGCGAAGGUAGGAAAACUAUAAGAAAACAUUACAAGGUAUUACUAAACAUGCAUCUAAGGAGAUUGAGAAUAUUGUAUGGUUUAUUACUUGAGGAGCAAUGUGGGAUACUGUAACUAAAAUCUGUUUCAUAAUUCAGAUACACAAGAGGAUAGACUUAUGGUUGCAAAUAGUGUAACUCAGCAUAAAUUUAAUGGAACUAUGCCAAUCUAUAGCAGGAGGCUCUCUGUGUCUCAGAGGGCUUGACUUCGGCUUCUGAAAAAAAUUAUCAGUGCAGUGACAGUGUCUUCCGCUGCAGUUGGCACUGAGGGGCUUGGUGGGAAAAAGCUGGUGUUGCCCUUGAUGAGAGCUGGCUCUGACAGCAAGCAAUGGCCAUGCUUUGACUAAAGGGCUGUCUCUGUGAGGCUAGGGAAGAAGAGAUAGGCUUUGAUAUUCUCUGAGGUAGGAAAGGCAAGAGGGACACUGCUAGAUAAGCAUGUUUCCAAAGCUGCAGCAGCCCCAGCGUUGUUGGUCUGCUUGGUUUCUAUGCUGGAAAGAUAAGCACAGGGAAGGAACAUUGGUGUAAGGAGGGCAAGGUAAAUAUAGCAGUAAAUGAUGAAGCCAUGUGUGUCUGGACACUUUCUGGUAGGCCUCCUGGCUAAAUCUGAUGAAUCAUUAUGCUUUGGGGAAGCAGAAGAACUGGCCGUGUGAAAUAUAGGAUCAUGUUCAUAGGGAACUGCAAGUGUCUUUCCUGCUGCACCAUAGGCUGCCACUGUGGUAGGUAAAAAGAUGCCUCUUAAGAAAUGACACUAGGUUGCUUGACAUAUCUGCUCUUUUGACUCAGUUCAGUUUUGCAGCAACAAAGUGUGCUACAGGCUCCUUAAGUGAAAGCCCCUGAGUUUUUUGUUAUGACCUGCAGCAUAGCAGGGAUUUUAACCUUUGGUCAAACCUACUCUGAAAAAGUAAGGUGAAAAAAAAGUCUAGGUCUUCUGAGAUGGGAAGUGUCUAAGAUUCCCUUACUAAGACUAUGCUACUCUGCCCUCUGAAUACUUUUCUUACACCUUUGUAGGUGGCCUGACUACACAUGAAAGUUGGAAAUUUGAGUGGAAGGGCAGACAAUAUUAGCAGGUAUUUGUUGAUUGUAACAAAAAAGACUAAGGGAAAUACAGAGAAAUGUCUUAAUUUUUCUGAAACUACAUGACCAUCCUUACUGGACUUCUCACAGACUCCUUGACAUUUUACUCGUGUGAUCAGUAUUUAGCCAUGUCUGCUUUCAAAUCAAGAAGAGUAAAAAGACCUUUUGCUCACUAUUGUGUUAAUUCUUCUUUAAUUCCUGCUCAAAUGCCUGAUUCUCCAGACCGUAGCAUGCUCAGAGAUGAGACAGUACAGGAUAAACACUAGUUAAUACACUAGAAAUAAUGCAGUAUCCCUGUGGAAGCAGAAUUAAGUACUUGAUUUUGACUGGUUUGACUGGUGAGGUUGUUAGGAAGAAAAAAAGAAGGGAAAAAAAUGGGAUUGCAGAACUGUGAUACAGUGUUUUAGAAAUUUUAUAUACCUUGUUGUGCAGCUUCAGUAGACCGCUGGAGACCUAAAAGAAAGCUCAGUACAAUUAAUACUAGGCAGCCAAAUCUUCUCAAAUAGUGGAUAGUCUUUGAGUUUCAGGAAUGUAUCUUAUGCUUUUGGCAAAGGUCGAUGAGUCAUAUAUAUUCCUUGUGUGUUCAACAUGAGGAUCAGACUAAAAUUAACCCCAUUCUGAGGCAGAAGGUAGGCAACUUGACACUGUGAUCCAUUAUGCUAAAGAGAAAUGUUUCUGUCUAAACCCAGAGGUAAACUGCACAGACAAGGAGUCAUUGAAAUGAAUUAUGUGGCCAAUCUUGUUAGGCCCAGGUCAGAAGCAGAGAUAUCUCUCUAUUUCUGUUCCUCCACCUCCUAAGUACAUUUAGCCUUUACACUAUUAGACUUCCCUAGGCCCUUUUUCAAAAUGUCACCUGCUCCACAAAUUCCAGCAUUUUGUAUUUUUAGAUGCUGGGGUCAGGAUGAGUGCAAAAAUAAUGACAUAUCUGCCCUUACAAGUAAUUCCUUCAUUUUAUUACUUGUAGGAAUGAGCCAUAAUAUGGAGUAAAGGAAAACUGCUUAACUAUUUUAACCUCUCACAGUGUGAGAGAGAAAUUACAAAGAAAACGAGCCUCUUCCUAACCUGAUAACCCUCCUUGUACCUAACACCUUCAUGAAGAAGCCCCUUCCUGGUGUGCUUUUGAAGCUACAUGCAUGAUAGACAAUGGGGGAAGAUAUUGUUGGGCGUUAUGUCCCUCUAUCCAUUCUUGAAAGCAGCUUUGCCAGAAAACCAGCUGAUAUGAUACUCUAAUUUCACCAGUCACAGUUUAUUUAUUUUCAUUUCAUUUAGCACUUUUUUUUUCCUUCAGAGCAAGGUCAAAUGCUUGUUCUAGGCCUCUCUGUCUCUGAAUUAAGAUCCUUUUCUCCCUCUCUGUCCCCCUCUUAAUGUGCAAGGCUAUGUCACUGCUCCCAAACAAGGAAGUGAAGCUGUUUUAUGUGGAAUUGAUUAUCACUGACAGAACCCAACAUGCCAUUUGCAAAUGGGAAGAUCUGGUUUAAAAUUUUUUUCUCCUAAGACAAGUCCUGCUGCUGAAUCCACAGUGAUUUCUAUUUUAAGUGUGGGGAUAGUUUCUCAAAUUAACAAAAACUUUCAAAAGAUAAGUAAAAGACCUUAAUACCACAUUUUUCACUUAAGGUCCAUUAUAUUCAAGACCUGGCCAUAAGUAUGGAUAAAAGCUUCUCAGUGUCCUUAUGAUAUUUUAAGGUUUGGACCAGUAACACUGCCUCUUACAUACUUCAAGGGAAAUGACCCAAUUUCCCUUCUCUUAAGUGCAAAGAAUUUUGUGUGUCCAGAGAUAGAAAAAAAGAUUGAAUGCAACAUAUACUUGCUUUUUGUUUUUAAAUUUUAAGUAAUUCUGGUUUUCGUUGCUUUAUUGUCUCAAAAUGGUGUUUUCUGUGCUUGCCUUUCACCAGCUGAGAUUGCUUCCAAAUAUGAAGAGCAAGACUAUGAAAGGGAAAAGACAAUCUCACAGAGGUAUUCUCAGAAACAGCGUAUUAAACUGAAUCUUCUGGGAAUGCAUUUUUAAAAAUGGAUCCAAUUUACCAUCAGGCUGCCUUGUGGUGGUUAACCUGGUGUAGUUUUCCUCAGGGGAAUACAUUCAAGUGUGGUGGUGGAGUAAAGAAAAGCAUGUGUUUUUUAUUAAGAACUUUUAGCCCUUUACCAUUUCUGUAAGGAAACACCACCACAGAUGAUAACUGAGCAAAGGAAAGAUCGUAUUUUAAGUGAAUUCCUAUGCAAUCAGUGAUGAUUUUUCAUACCUUUUCAUCACUUUUAUUAGUAUUUUAAAGGAGCAAUAAAGAAUACGUAGCUAUUAAACCCAUGAAACCCUCCACAAACCCUUUGAUGCAAAAGAGAAAGAAAAACAAUCUAAACCACUCAUUAUAACUUCAACAUUUCUCAAAAACAUGAUUUAAAAAUAGAAAGGAAGAAGAAAUUACGUGUUGAUCUAUAUUUAGCAUAAUCAGGCUUUUGAAUGAAGUUUUAAGGCCCAUAUUUUCAUAAUUGUGUGUGUGCAAUUGAUUGGAAUUUUAUGGCAGGCAAGCUUUCCUUGAGGGAGGGAGAUAGAUUACUGAAUCAAUAUUUGAGGGCUCUUUUGUUUUGCUUUGUUUUAAUGUUAUUGAAAAGUCUGGGUGGCAGCCAUGAUAGGUGCUUUACAGCUCACAGAUUAUUAAAAAAUAAGAAAUAAUUAGGGAUAGCUGACAAUCAACUGGUUGCACAUAGUCAGUACAGGAGAGCAGCAGUUUAAAAUAUUUGUCUCGUGUGCUUUACAUCCAUGGAAAUACCAUGUGAAGCUGUAUUAACGAUCAGGAUAAUUUACUUGAGAAGAGACUUCUGGAACAAGUUAGUUUGUAUUAGAAUUUCAGACCUCCUCUCACUGCUACCUGUGAGGCAUUUAGUGAAAUGAAGAGGCAGGAGAAGAAGGAUGUUAUGCUUUCUGCUAAAUAAUAAUAAACAACAAAGCAGAAAGUUUUUUCAAUACUUAAAGAUUUGAAAGCAUACUUAUCCUGGGCUAAAGACAUCCUUAGUAUCUCAAUAGCUUUGUGUAACUCUCAAGAAUCUAUUGGGGAAAAAAACCAAAGAGUACAUCUCUAUAUAUGUACUACUACUUCUAUCCAUGUAUAGGUAAGGUUAUUCCUUACCUGUAGGAAUACAGGUGACCCUUAGACCACUAGUACCUACAUACCAUAUUUUCAGAAUUCUGGGAAACACAUUAAGAAGUUACACUUCUGGAAACAAUACUCCUCUGUCAGAUCUUGUAAAGCAAUACAAACCAGAAAGAUUCCAUAAACUUUGCAAAUUUUGUACAGCCAUGUUUCUUGAAAAAGGCAAUUCCCCUGUUGUCCUUGGCUCUGAGUAAACUUUUUGACUUCUUUUUUUGCCAUGCCCAUGGAAUAAAAUUAAUCUCUCAACCUAAUGAGAUAUUGUCAGUUAAAAUAGUUGAGAGACCAGAAUUUAUUCUUUUUUAUUUCUUCUAAAUGCUUUACAGAACCAAACAUUAAUUAAAGUAUAUAGAUGCACAUGUGUGUCCAUACAUACACACAUAUGCAGAUGUAGUCCUAAAGGACACAGCAUUUGAUCUCCUAAAAUGUCAACUAAGUAUGUUUUUUUUAAUAUAAAAUGAAACCACUUAUUAUUUGAAAUAAAAUUGACUUGAGAGAUGUUGUUUUUCAUUCUUUGUUGUUUUCAGUCCUCUGUGUUUCCUGAAGUGGAGCUGAUCUCAUUAGAAGAAAACAUGAAAAACAGAAAACAUCUAAACUGGACUUCAUAAGUCUGAAGUACCCUAAAUCAGUGGCGGUUUUAAGAAAAGUACCCUUAUUACCUUGUUUCUUUGUACUCUUAUACAAAAUAAUUUUGUGCCAGACUGAACUCUGGAGAAUUGUAGAGUUGUAGAGUCAUAAUUUCUGCUUUAUUCCCAUGUUGACUUAGGCUAUUCAUAAUAAUACUAUCUAGCUCUUUUCUGAAUCCUUAAUUGAGGGGUCUGAGAGAUCUUUAAAAAAAACAAAAGAAGAAAAAAGAAGAAGAAAAAAAAAAGGUAAGCAUAUGUUUUCCUGAUUUUAAAGCUAUGGAAGCAGAGACAAAAUAGAGAAAAAUGAUUUUCUUGGUGUCACUCAGGAGGCCAGUGGCAGAAACAAGACAAAACCCAGAUUUGUUGAGAACCAAUAUAACAUGCUACCCAUUUUCCAGAGACUAAAAGCAUUCUCCCCUAUCAUGGGAUGAUAUCACAAACACUCUUCCUCAGGCUACUUGUCUACCAAGCAUGCACAGAGACUUCACAAUGACCUUGGGGAAGUUUUGUAACUGUUCUGUGCCCUACUGAAAUGUGGAGACAAUGCUUGUAUGAGUGCUUUUUUGCUAAAUCUUCAAGAACAAUGUCCUUUCCUGGCGGGUGAUACAUCGAAACCGCAAGUGCCAGAGGGGAAAAAACCUGCCACUGAAAUGCGUGGAGAUAUGAAUGACAGACUGUUCACUUAACUUAUACAUUCAAAAAUAUCUACUUUGUCCUUCUGAGAGUGAAAUGGCUGCUUUGACAUAAUUGUGGUCUCUUAUAUGAUGUUAAUCCAUAGUGUCGAAGCCAUUAUAAUUCUAGUUCAGAUGUGCAUAUUUUAAAAAAGAAUUCUAAGAAAAAGUUAUUUUACAUACUCAGCCAUUGACAUUUUUAUGUUAAUGUUGGGUUUAAUUUCUAAAAAAAAUUAGAAAUAUGGCACUAUAGGGAACUAUUGGAUUUAGUAAAUCUGCUGGCUAUAAAAUUCCUUUUCAAAGAAGUAAACUUCUUUAUAAUCCAACUCUAGUAAACUAGUUAUUUUCCAGAGGAUGUUAGCAUUCAUGAAAUGUAUUGGAUUUACAAUUCUAGAACACUUGUUUGCUCAAAGAAAGCAUUAGUGUAAACAAUAAAAAGAUCUUCAUACCGCUCUGCUAA